UACGUAGGGCGCAAGCGUUAUCCGGAAUUAUUGGGCGUAAAGAGCUCGUAGGCGGUGUGUCACGUCGGCCGUGAAAACCUGCAGCUUAACUGUGGGCGUGCGGUCGAUACGGGCAUCACUGGAGUUCGGCAGGGGAGACUGGAAUUCCUGGUGUAGCGGUGAAAUGCGCAGAUAUCAGGAGGAACACCGGUGGCGAAGGCGGGUCUCUGGGCAACAACUGACGCUGAGGAGCGAAAGCGUGGGGAGCGAACAGG
rnacentral:rRNA from 1 species